UACUUACCACUAUACUACAACGACCUUGUUGAUACACAAUUCAAUAUAAUAAUUAUUUAAUUCGACAAAUACAAAGCAUACACUUGUCGUCCUCUUUUUCACUCAGAGACAGCUUCUUUGAAAUUAGCUUUGACACUGAGCUCAUCGUACGCAUUCACGAGAUUCUCAAGCCUCGCGACGAAUUCGAUCAGUAGCGAAGCGAACGUAGCUAGAGAAAGAUUACUCGCGCUCUCGUACAUUUUUCCCGGCUCUCCCAGUGGUGGCUGUAACAUACUUCCCGGCGUAAUAGAGAUCCGGCUAGGCCACGACGGCUGUUUAUGUAUCAUCGUCCUUGAUUGCAGGUAAGGAAGCAUCGUCGCCGAACUCAAGUUAGCUGCAGUUGUAACAUCAUCCCAAUUCUUCGGUGGACGAAGAGUGGCUUCACUCUGAGAUUUAUGAGCCAAGAUCCGACUUAGAUCAGAGUCGAGAUUCGAGAUUUUUUGUUCAUCAGUCAAAUCCCUAACCCUAGGCCGGUUCCCGAUUUCCCAAUUCUUGGCGUUCACGAGAAGCCUGCAAUUACUUUGCAUACUCUUGUCUCAAAUCUCUCUUAAGAUCUGAAGAUUAUAGAAUGUUUCUGACUUAAAGAUUGGAAAGUACCUGGAUCUCUGAGAGAAUGCAGCCAUGUAACGCCAUGACCAUGAUAGCACAAUGCCUCAAUGCACCACCUACUUUCACAUACAGUGCCCAUGGGUAUCUAAAGGAUUUGUACGGUCCGUGUGGUGGCUCCCAUGAUGCAAAACUCAUCUUCACAAUCACACCAACAACAAGAAAAAGAUGUGAGGAUCUCAAAUUGAACGGCUGAUCUGUAACCACUGUACACUGGAUCUUCCGCGACAGCUUCAUAGACCAGAAUCCUAGAUGGGAUUGUAUCAUAUGCUACGCACUCAAGAUAUCCGUUCACACAACCUGCACAAAGGAACAUUUUCCAUGGAUUGGAAACAGACUAAGAAGCUUUUCAACCAGAAACUCAAAUUCAGGGAGAGAGUUAAUAAUAAACCUUCCAGAGAAGUCGCUACGUUCACAAAGUUCUUGGCGACCAAGUUAUGGAGAUCUUCCCCAGCCCAUAUGGGAUAAAUGCAAGUAUUCACUAUGAGGCCAACACUGGCACCAAGAGCUAUCAGAAGGAACCUUGAAACAGCUGUUUCCAUGAAUUCCCCUGUUUUGUAUCCUGACACUAUUACGUAGCAAUAGGUCAGCAAGAACACCCGGAAUCCGUACUCGUAAGGCUUCAUCGUUGGAUAUAGCUUUGCAUAAGUCGCAAAAAAGGCUGAUACAAGAGCAGGCAUGCGAUAUUGUCAGAAAUCAGAAUGAGAUUGUGGAAGCUUUAGUUUAGACCACACAUCAUGAUUUCGUAUAUAUACCUACUACAAAGAUGCUAGCAGCAUUAAAAACAUCUGCCCAAUUUCCAGUCAUCUCCGAUAUCCAAGACAUGCCAAGCGCCAGUCCUCCUGCGGACAAUGUUCCUAGUCCCCGGUUACAUCCUUUGCUAAAGGUGGCUCCUAUACAAAAAACAAGAGAAGAUCACAUGUCAGAGAUAGUGGCCGCUGAGCUCUAAUCCUGGGAUCUUAAAGAAGAUGAGGAUAGAGGUAAGUGUCAGAGCCAAACCCAUCUUCGCCGAGAAUAUCAUCUUCCUCGGGUCAGCUGUUCCCAUCUCCCAUGCCGUAACCAAAACAUCCUUUAAUUUCUUCACAACCCCCGUGAUCUUGUCAGAGAAGUAGCUGCAAACAACACCAAUAGCAUUUCAAGACUUAACCAUUUGAGAUUACUUGACAUUGGACUCCAAGAGGCAUCAUAUUAAGAUAAAAUGGCUUCAAAAAGGUUUGGUCAAUAGAAGGUUCUGGAAAGAAGGAGAGAUUGUAUGUAAUGUAUAACCUGUAGGAGCAGCAACGGACGGAAGUUUUGUCAUCGUCGUUGACAUUGGAAUAGCCUCUGCUCUGUAGGAUAAGCCUAUCUCUCAUGCUUUGUCGAAACGAACCAUCGAACAUACUACCUCGCCUGAAAGAUCCGUCGAACAUGCUACCCCGCCUGAAAGAUUCCAGCUUUGGUGCCGCCAUUUCUGGUUCUUGAUUCCGAUGAUUGCAGAAGAUUGAUAGAGGUGUAAACAGAGACGGAAAGACUCGGGAGAGAUUCUAUUAUUUAUUGUGCAUUUGUGGUUUAUGAUUUCUAUCAAAGACACGAUGGUGUCAUGACUGAUGAAUCAUGAACUGAAAAAACCCAGAUUCCCAAAUUUGGAACUGUUUUCGAAUUUUGCAAAGAAAUGGUAUGCAAAUCUGGUAUGAUUGCUAUGCACGUCUUAGAGCACGUUUUCGUGUCUAAUUACAGAUUGUUUUUCAACCCAUAAUCUCAAUAAAAUUUAUUUUCAUUAAUAAACCAAAAAUACCGGUCAAAAUUAUGAAGUGUUUAAUGAAGUGUUGUUUUUUUCUGAAAAAGGGAUUACAUUAAGC
rnacentral:lncRNA from 1 species